rnacentral:piRNA from 1 species
CGGUGUCCGACGAGUAUGAGCAGCUCUC